rnacentral:rRNA from 1 species
AGUGAACGCUGGCGGUAGGCCUAACACAUGCAAGUCGAACGGCAGCACAGUAAGAGCUUGCUCUUACGGGUGGCGAGUGGCGGACGGGUGAGGAAUACAUCGGAAUCUACUUUUUCGUGGGGGAUAACGUAGGGAAACUUACGCUAAUACCGCAUUCGACCUACGGGUGAAAGCAGGGGAUCUUCGGACCUUGCGCGAUUGAAUGAGCCGAUGUCGGAUUAGCUAGUUGGCGGGGUAAAGGCCCACCAAGGCGACGAUCCGUAGCUGGUCUGAGAGGAUGAUCAGCCACACUGGAACUGAGACACGGUCCAGACUCCUACGGGAGGCAGCAGUGGGGAAUAUUGGACAAUGGGCGCAAGCCUGAUCCAGCCAUACCGCGUGGGUGAAGAAGGCCUUCGGGUUGUAAAGCCCUUUUGUUGGGAAAGAAAAGCAGCAGGUUAAUACCCCGCUGUUCCGACGGUACCCAAAGAAUAAGCACCGGCUAACUUCGUG